rnacentral:rRNA from 1 species
UUUAAUUUAUUUUACUAAACAAAUUAAAUUUAUUACUAAAUAAACAUAAAAAUUUAAAUAAAAUAAAAUUAUUAUUAAAAAAUAAAAAUAAGUUUAUAAUUAAUUUUAAGAUAAUAAAAAAAAUUUUAAUUAUUGUGCCAGCAAAAGCGGUUAUACAAUAAUUUAAUUAAUUAAUUUAAAAAUAAAAUUAAAAAUUAAUAUUAAUUAAAAUAAAAAUAAAAUAAUAGUAAAAUAUAAUUAUUAAAUUCAAAUUUUAUAAAACUUUUAAAAUUUUAAAUUUACUAGGAUUAGAUACCCUAUUUUUAUAGAUUAUUAAAAGUAUAUUUACCUAAAUUGAAAAAAUGAUAGUAUUAAAAAUUUAGAUAAACCUAUAAAUUAAUUUGAUUCCUAACAAUAAAAUAAACUUAAAUUUUAUAUUUAUAUACUACUAAAUUAAUUAUAUAAAUUUAUAUAAAAAAUUUUUAUAAAAAUAAACUUUAAGUCAAAGUUUAAUUUAUAUUUAAGAUUUAUAGGGUUGCAUUAAAAUUUUUUUUUAUUAAAAUAAAUAAAUUUUAGAAUUUAAAAAUAAAUUUAUUUAAUUAUUUAAAUUAAAUAAAAAAUUAAUAUAUACAUAUUGCCCGUCAUUUUUAAUUAAAAUUAAAAAAAGUCGUAACAAAGUAAAAUUACUGGAAAGUAAUUUUU